GGUGAGAUAUGUAUAGAUUAAUGAGACUGUAGUACCUACUUGAAAUCGAUCGCGUAUAUAUUUUUAUUUUUUCAUUCGAGGAAUGUGGGAGAUUCGAAGAAAUAAUGGGAGCCUUUUGUUUGUUUUUAAAGUUCCUAGAAUAAAUAUUUUUAUAAGUACAAACAUCUAAUUAGAAACUAUUUUCUCUUCAGAUAACCAUAUCAAGUUUCAACCUUUUAGCUCGUAUUCUCGAUACCAAUAGGUUGACCAAUACAAACUACAAAGACUGAUUCUGAAAUUUGAGAAUCAUUCUCAAUUUUGAAAAAAUUACCCAUGUCCUUGAUCGGAAUGCACUUGUGUUACCAGCUUGUCUAUCCCC
rnacentral:lncRNA from 1 species